UGGACAAUGUCUCAAGUGAACAUUGAUACUCAGUCAUCAUUAAGUCAUAAAAUAACUCCUUAUCAAUGAUGAACCUUGAUUUGUGAUUGGACACAACUGUUGUUUUUAUUUUCAGAAUCCAGAAUCUCCAACACAGUCAAGUUGUUACUCCUCUGGAUAACCCAUUGUACCUCCACUGCACCUAACUAAACACUUGGGAUUGAAGUCAUCUGCUCCCCCCAAAUCCAUCAAAGCAGAAAAUAACCUGUCAGUCCAUCAUGAGAGUGGUUCAACUGACGACAGUAUGGAAUCACCAUAUGACGAGAGAUUGAAAAAACUGAAAAAGGAAUUUGAGGAAAGUGUUGAAGUAUUCAGACACCUCCUUGAUGAACAUUUGAAGGACCUUCAGGCAAAAGUGAAAGAGCUUCGUCAGAUAGCUGACAGUUAUGAGAAUUGGUACCGUGCCACUACUAGAGGUAGUCUGGCAGGGGGUGUUAUGGGGGCAGCUGGAGGGAUCACUACUUUAGUAGGCCUUGGCCUGGCUCCAUUCACUUUAGGCACCUCCAUGGUUGUUGCCGGGGCGGGUAUGGUGAUGGGUGUAACUGGUGGGAUUACUGGCGCUGCUUCUACCAUCACCAGCAUGGUGAGUCAACGAAGCGACCGACAGAACAUUCAGAACAUUCAGAAACAUUUUCUGGAAAAAGUCAAACCAAUUGAGGAAAGCUUGAGUAAAAUCAACUGGAAAGUUGAAGAAUUAAAGGCAAUGGCCAAUGAUGCAGCUAAAACAGGGUUUGGAAUUUGUAAAAUAGCAGGUAAUCUGGCUUUUUUAGAUGACUUUGCAAAUAUUGCCAAACUAAGUGCCUCAUCUGCUAAAUCUGUCCGUGUAGCAGCAUCAUUGACAGCGGUGCUCUCUGGCCUACUCCUAGUUCUUGACAUAAUCUCUAUUGUCAAGGAUGCCAAGGAACUUUAUGCAAUGGAAAAUGGAAACCAAAUUCAGUCAGACACACUGAGCUUUAUUCGGACAAUCAGGGACAUGGCUGAACAGUAUGAGCAGACACUAAAAACGUUUGAACAGACAAAGGAAGAACUUCUUCGAAAAAAAUGUUGAUUAAGAAAAUACAUAUAUUUAAAUUAAAAUAAUCUGAUUAUAUUGCUUGAAAGGGGUCUGAUUUUACAGUUGAAGUAGGAAGUUUACAUACACCUUAGCCAACUACAUUUAAACUCUGUUUUUCACAAUUCCUAACAAUUAAUCCUAGUAAAAAUUCCCUGUCUUAGGUCAGUUAGGAUCACCACUUAAUUUUAAGAAUGUGAAGUGUCAGAAUAGUAGUAGAGAAUGAUUUAUUUCACCUUUUAUUUCUUUCAUCACAUUCCCAGUGGGUCAGCAGUUCACAUACACUCAAUUAGUAUUUCGGUAGCAUUGCCUUUAAAUUGUU